GGGGUCUUAAUUUGUUUGUCCUUUAAGAGUCUGCAAAAUUUCCGUGGACACCCAGACUAUAAAAAUGCUGGAGUUCCAGGAAACAUUUCCUUAAUGUUAAGCCUCUUGGUCUGGAAAAAAACCAGAUGUCCAGUACUUAUGAUUGAUGACCUGCCAUUGACGUUGAAUUUGGGCCAUUAAUACUGCCAAAUAAAUAUUGUUUUUAAAGCAAAUGAUGAUUUGACCAAAUCAAACUAGAGUCUCUGAAUGUACUGCUGAGACAUGUCAGAUCUGAAGCUUUGAAUAGUCAGUAUUGGUUACAAACUUUUACUUAUUUCUAGCUGACUGGCCUCUGAACUUAAAUUUGGGCCAGUACUUGUUAUAAAUUCAACACGCUUUGUGAUCAGAAAUGAUUUUGGUGCUUUGGCAGAGACUGGUAAAUUUAGGUUGUCACAGUAAAGUUUAGGACAUGAUUGCAUAAUGGCUGUUGUGUUUGCCUAGCGAUCAUGAUGUCUGUGGUCGAUCUAUUUUCUGGAAGCAAUCUUAACAUCAAAGAAUUCUUCCUGGAAAUACAUACUAUAUUAAGUGCUUCAUUCCACCUGGAAUAUCUUAUGCAAAGCCUUCUACCUGGGAUACAUACUGUAUAGAGUGCUUCAAUCCACGGGAGAUUUGUAUUCUAUUGAGUGCUUCAAUGUUUCAGUAUUUUUUUUUUUACGCAACACUUUCUGAUAUUGAUCUACAUGGCUCGAAAUUAACACUCGCACACUCGCAAAAUGCGAGUGAAAAAAACAGAUUGCGAGUUAAGUUUGAAGCCACUAGAAUUUUUUUGCGAGUGAAGAAAUAGUGAAAAAAAAGAGUUAUAUUGCUAAAUGCGCUCAAUGCUAAACCGCAGGUCAAUUAAUAGAACGUCCGAAUACUCAUAUGCGGAAGCUCGCACCUUGUAUGUAGACUGGUAUACUUAUAGUACAUAUAUGCGGAUGGUAUUGGUACAAAGAUAAUGAAACAGUCGAUUAUCCACACAUGUUCACUAUAAAAGACAAAAAACCUGAAUAGUCAUGUCGUCGAAGCGAAAUUUAACUAGUUUCUUUUUGCCCACAGAUUGAAAUAACAAUAAGAAAUAUAAAGCAAAGUUAACCGUUGAGAUGAGAGAAAAAAACGGAAAUUAAAUUCUUCCACAAAAACAGUGAAAAAGUGGGAAAAAGAACUUCAUAUAUAACACCAAAACUUGUGGUUGAUGUCAUAUUUUAUUUAGUUUUAAUAGUACUAAACUAAUGUCCAAACUUGCUUUUAUUUAUGUUUCCAGCAAAAUUUGCGAGAAUGUUUUUUGAUUUUGCGAGCUGGUAUUUAAGCUGCUCGCAAUGUUUUGCUAGUAGAAAGAAAAGUUAAAUUCCAGCCCUGACAGAUUUUUGGUAUGUGAGUCUACGUACAUGACCUGCAGAUAAAGUGUGAGCUUGGUUCUUGUUCAUUGAUUUUUGUUUAGUCUUGGGCCUUUGACUGAAAUUUUAUCUAUAAUAACCAUUUUCCGGAGUUUUUUUUACGAUAUGUCUUCGGAUAAUGUGCUGAUUUUGGUAUUUGAGCAAAAACAUCCCAUGUACACCAGGCGUACCAGAAAUUUUACAAUUUGGGUGGAAAAAGAAGGUUAUGGGGUUGGGGAACAAAGUAUUUAUUUGCUAAUGUUUAUAAGAAGAAAACCUGCUAAACAUGUCAAAACAAACUAAUCUUUCCAUGAAGUUAAUGAACAAUCUGUGUAUUAAAAGUAUUAAUAUCCAUGUAGACAGUGUAGUGUGCCUGGUUCGCCCAGGUACUCUCGCUGUCGUGUGGCGUAUGGGAGCUGAAUGUCCUGCUGGACUGGAGGUAUAUUCCCGUUCCACAUCAUGGUACAUCAACUGGACCCCUGUGGGUUCAGGCCGUGUAUAUUCCAGAACCUUCCUAGAGCUGCUAGUACAGCUAGAACUGGGGAGAUAAGCCAUACACGGAACACUUGCUUUCAUUGUCGGUAUUGUAAAGGGCUAAUUUGCAUAAAAUAAAAUUUAAAAUGUGGCAUUUUGCGCCUCCCAAAUAAGGCAAAAGGCAGUUUUCCCCCACAAGCUGAGUGCAAUGUGUUUGAGAGAGUUGAAAAUCUGCUGGCUUAUAAGAGUAUAUAUUAUUCCUUUCUUCUAUUUGACUUAAAAUUUAAGGCUCCUAUUUGGCCCGGUUCCCAAGGGAAAAAGUUUAUAUUUUUUCCAAAUGGGCCCUUAAAAUUCCCAUUUGAAGGUUAAAAAAAAUAAUAUUUUAUUAUAUAUUUUUGGAGCCCAAAAUUUAGAUCAUCUCCCAUCUAGCUCUAUAAGGGAAUAAAUAAAAAAUAACAUUUAUUCUCAAUUUUCAAGUAUUUCUGAGAGAAAAGUCAAAUAUACCAAUUCCGAAAAUUUAUUCCAAACUACGUGGUUUAUCCCAAUUCAAAUGGCCCAUUCCCAAAAUCCAUGAAGUUCAUACUGUAUGAGCAAUCUGUGUAUUAAAAGCCUAACCAUGUAUAUCCAUGUAGACAGUGUAGUGUGCCUGGUUCGCCCAGGUACUCUCGCUGUCGUGUGGCGUAUGGGAGCUGAAUGUCCUGCUGGACUGGAGGUAUAUUCCCGUUCCACAUCAUGGUACAUCAACUGGACCCCUGUGGGUUCAGGCCGUUUAUAUUCCAGAACCUUCCUAGAGCUGCUAGUACAGCUAGAACAAAGGAGACUAGCCAUACAUGGAACACUUGCUUUCAUUGUCGGUAUUGUAAAGGGCUAAUUUGCAUAAAAUAAAUUUAAAAUGUGGCAUUUUGCGCCUCCCAAAUAAGGCAAAAGGCAGUUUUUCCCCCACAAGCUGAGUGCAAUGUGUUUGAAAGAGUUGAAAAUCUGCUGGCUUAUAAGAGUAUAUAUUAUUCCUUUCUUCUAUUUGACAUUCUUUAUCAAAAGCUGAAGCUGUGGCAGUGUUGAUUUUUAACCAGGUUUUCCGAAGGAAAAAACUGGUUAUUAGAUUGGCGAAUGCGGGCGGGCUGGCUGGCGGGCGGGCGGAACAAGCUUGUCCGGGCCAUAACUAUGUCGUUCAUUGUCAGAUUUUAAAAUCAUUUGGCACAUUUGUUCACCAUCAUUGGACGGUGUGUCGCGCGAAAUAAUUACGUCGAUAUCUCCAAGUUCAAAGGUCUAAAAUGGCCAUAAAUGAGCUUGUCCUGGCCAUAACUAUGUCAUUCAUUGUAAGAUUUUAAAAUCAUUUGGCACAUUUGUUCACCAUCAUGGGACGGUGUGUCGCACGAAAGAAUCACGUCAAUAUCUCCAAUGUCAAGGUCGCCACGACUAAAAAUAGAUUUUUUUUAAAAACAAACUUACAAAGGGGGUUAAUUUUGUUUGUUCAUUUCAAAAGUUCAGUUUGAGUUUUCUCCCUUUAUCAGAUUUUUUUUUCACAAUGAAAACCUGGUUUUGUGACAAUUUUGUCCCUUGUUUUAUUUAAAAUUUAAGGCUUCUAUUCGGCCUGUUGCCAAGGGAAAAAAGUUUAUUUUUUUCCAAAUGGGACCUAAAAAUUCCCUUUUGAAGGUUAAAAAAAGAAUAUUUUAUUAUAUAUUUUUGGAGCCCAACAUUUAGAUCAUCUCCCAUCUAGCUCUAUAAGGGAAUAAAUAAAAAAUAACAUUUAUUCUCAAUUUUCAAGUAUUUCUGAGAGAAAAGUCAAAUAUACCAAUUCCGAAAUUUUAUUCCAAACUACGUGGUUUAUCCCAAUUCAAAUGGCCCAUUCCCAAAAUCCAUGAAGUUCAUACUGUAUGAGCAAUCUGUAUUAAAAGCCUAUCCAUGUAUAUCCAUGUAGACAGUGUAGUGUGCCUGGUUCGCCCAGGUACUCGAGCUGUCGUGUGGCGUAUGGGAGCUGAAUGUCCUGCUGGACUGGAGGUAUAUUCCCGUUCCACAUCAUGGUACAUCAACUGGACCCCCUGUGGGUUCAGGCCGUGUAUAUUCCAGAACCUUCCUAGAGCUGCUAGUACAGCUUAAACUAAGGAGACUAGCCAUACAUGGAACACUUGCUUUCAUUGUCGGUAUUGUAAAGGGCUAAUUUGCAUAAAAUAAAUUUAAAAUGUGGCAUUUUGCGCCUCCCAAAUAAGGCAAAAGGCAGUUUUUCCCCCACAAGCUGAGUGCAAUGUGUUUGAAAGAGUUGAAAAUCUGCUGGCUUAUAAGAGUAUAUAUUAUUCCUUUCUUCUAUUUGACAUUCUUUAUCAAAAGCUGAAGCUGUGGCAGUGUUGAUUUUUAACCAGGUUUUCCGAAGGAAAAAACUGGUUAUUAGAUUGGCGAAUGCGGGCGGGCUGGCUGGCGGGCGGGCGGAACAAGCUUGUCCGGGCCAUAACUAUGUCGUUCAUUGUCAGAUUUUAAAAUCAUUUGGCACAUUUGUUCACCAUCAUUGGACGGUGUGUCGCGCAAAAUAAUUACGUCGAUAUCUCCAAGGUCAAGGUCACACUUUGAGUUCAAAGGUCUAAAAUGGCCAUAAAUGAGCUUGUCCUGGCCAUAACUAUGUCAUUCAUUGUAAGAUUUUAAAAUCAUUUGGCACAUUUGUUCACCAUCAUGGGACGGUGUGUCGCACGAAAGAAUCACGUCAAUAUCUCCAAUGUCAAGGUCGCCACGACUAAAAAUAGAUUUUUUUUAAAAACAAACUUACAAAGGGGGUUAAUUUUGUUUGUUCAUUUCAAAAGUUCAGUUUGAGUUUUCUCCCUUUAUCAGAUUUUUUUUUCACAAUGAAAACCUGGUUUUGUGACAAUUUUGUCCCUUGUUUUAUUUAAAAUUUAAGGCUUCUAUUCGGCCUGUUGCCAAGGGAAAAAAGUUUAUUUUUUUCCAAAUGGGACCUAAAAAUUCCCUUUUGAAGGUUAAAAAAAGAAUAUUUUAUUAUAUAUUUUUGGAGCCCAACAUUUAGAUCAUCUCCCAUCUAGCUCUAUAAGGGAAUAAAUAAAAAAUAACAUUUAUUCUCAAUUUUCAAGUAUUUCUGAGAGAAAAGUCAAAUAUACCAAUUCCGAAAUUUUAUUCCAAACUACGUGGUUUAUCCCAAUUCAAAUGGCCCAUUCCCAAAAUCCAUGAAGUUCAUACUGUAUGAGCAAUCUGUAUUAAAAGCCUAUCCAUGUAUAUCCAUGUAGACAGUGUAGUGUGCCUGGUUCGCCCAGGUACUCGAGCUGUCGUGUGGCGUAUGGGAGCUGAAUGUCCUGCUGGACUGGAGGUAUAUUCCCGUUCCACAUCAUGGUACAUCAACUGGACCCCCUGUGGGUUCAGGCCGUGUAUAUUCCAGAACCUUCCUAGAGCUGCUAGUACAGCUUAAACUAAGGAGACUAGCCAUACAUGGAACACUUGCUUUCAUUGUCGGUAUUGUAAAGGGCUAAUUUGCAUAAAAUAAUAUUUCAAAUGUGGCCUUUUGCGCCCCCAAAUAUGUUGAAAGUCAUGGUUUUUUCUCCGUAAGCUGAGUGCAAUGGGUUUUAGAGAGAUGAAGAUUUGCUGGCUUAUAAAAGUAUAUAAUUUUCCUUUCAUCUAUUUAACAUUCUUUAUCAAAAGCUGAACUUUUGGCAGUAUAGAUGUUUUUCUUUAAAAUGUAAGGGCCCUAUUCGGCCCUGUUCCCAUAUACUUUUCCCAAAUUGGACCUAAUAAUUCCAAUUUGAAGGUUAAAAAAACUAAUAUUUUAUUAUUUUUUUUUUUAGAUUCCAACAUUUAGAAAAUCUCCCAUCUAACUCUAUAAGUAAAUAUAUUAUAAAAUAAAAGUACAUUUAUUCUCAAUUUUAAAGUAUUUCUUAGAGAAAAAUCAAAUAUACCUACAUAUAUUCCUUAAUACUAACUAUGCGGUUUAUCUCAAUUCAUAGGGGCCCAUUCCCAAAAUCCAUGAAGUUCAUACUGUAUAAAUAAUCCUUGUAUUACAACAAUACAAGACUAUCCAUGUAGACAGUGUAGUGUGCCUGGUUCGCCCAGGUACUCUCGCUGUCGUGUGGCGUAUGGGAGCUGAAUGUCCUGCUGGACUGGAGGUAUAUUCCCGUUCCACAUCAUGGUACAUCAACUGGACCCCCUGUGGGUUCAGGCCGUGUAUAUUCCAGAACCUUCCUAGAGCUGCUAGUACAGCUAGAACUGGGGAGAUAAGCCAUACAUGGAACACUUGCUUUCCUUGUCUGUAUUGUAAAGGGCUUAUUUGCAUAAAAUAAUAUUUCAAAUAUGGCCUUUUUGCACCUCAUAAAGUAUGUUGAAAUUCUUCUUCCCACUCCCCCCCCCCCCCCCCCCCCCCAAUUUUUUUUUUUUUAAAUGAGUGCAAUGCCAGGGAUGGUUUUAAAAAGCUGAAUUGUUGGGAAUCGACUAUUUGCAUGAGGGAUUUUCUUGCCAUUUAGGGUUUAUAUUAUUCCUUUGAUCUGUUUCACAAGCUUCAGCAUACGCUUUUACAGUGUUUAAACAUGCAUGAAAACGAUACUUUUGGCCCUGGUCCCAUUCCAAAAAUGGUAAAAAAUAAACGGUGUUGCCAAUACUAAUUGUUGAGAAGCAAAUGAUGAUUUGACCAAAUCAAACUAGAGUCUCAGAAUACACUGUUGAGACAUGUCAGAUCUGAAGCAUUAAACAGUCAAUAUUGGUUACACGUUUGAAAAUUGAAAACACUUUAAUUCUCAUUUUUGAAGCAUUUGAUAGCAAAACAGCAACAACACUCAUUCCAAUUUAACUAUCAAGGCACUGAGGUGUUCAUUGUUGUAAAAUGUCGUCCUUGAUUAGCUUGUGCACAUUGCACAGGCAAAUCCGUAUGCACAGGCUAAUCUUAUUUGACAUGCAUUAAGCCCCAUUUUCCCUGAAAGCAGCCAAUAUGUACAGAUUUCAAUGAUAAACACUAGACUGGCCAAUCUCGUCUUACAAGUGUUAAACACUAUUAGUAAUGUAAACCCUCUGCAGUGUACCAGUGGUGAACUGUAACCAGUAAAAUGUGGAGGUUAUCUUUCCAUUUGUCGUCUGCUGCAACAGGCAGCGGUUGUCUUUCCAUACCUUACCUAAGGCUUCUAAUCACAUACUGAUUUGCAAAAUAUGGUUUGUAAUAUUAGUGUGAGCGUUAUGCCGCACUGUUUCCCUAUCCAAAGGGACCUAGACCCAAUACAAAAUGGCGAAAAAAAACACACUUGUGUCUCAAAAAGUCUGAGGCCAAAAUAAAGCUAAAUAACUGUUGUUUCUAGUACAGAAAUACUGUUUCUAAAGCAAAUGAUGAUAUGACCAAAUCAAACUAAAGUCUCUGAAUGCACUGUUGAGACAUGUCAGGUCUGAAGCUUUAAGAAGUCUAUAUUGGUUACUAACUGACACAUAAUGGCUAGACUGAAAUGGCACCUAUUACAAGACAAAUGAACUUCUGGGGUAUGUUAAAAUUGUACAUAUACCAGCUUAAUAUAUUACCUUCACAAAAUUUGGCUUUGAAGUUAUUAUCUUGAAGUCAUUGAUUAUUUUUAUGUCUCAUAGUCAUAUGACAGGCUUAUCAGGGACGACAAUUUCUGCCUAGACUGGAUUAAAUCCGAUUUCAUUCAGACAAUAUGCACAUGCAUUAAGCCCAGUUUUUCUCAAAAUGCUGCUUAAUAGAUCUCGCUGAAGUUUAAGCAACUACUGUGGUAUUGUCAGUGUUACAUGUACACAGAUAGAACAAGCCAGUUUUUGUACUGUAUUGGUAUUGUCACAACAUUUGAUGCAAUCGUAUGUCAAUCAAGACGGACUUUGAUGAUGUACAGCAUUGGAUGCAAAAUUACGCAGGUCAAGAUUGAGCAGGUGUGGGUUGAACUCAGUGGUUGAUGUUGUU